AACCAUAGAAACCUGCGGAGUACCUGCGGAAGGAUCAUUAAAGAUUGACCGAAAGGUCUUAUCUCUAUAUCCCUCACCUCUGUGAACUGUGGACCUCCGGGUCUAUUUAACAAACAUCAGUGUAAUGAACGUAUAUAUCAUUAAACAAAACAAAACUUUUAGCAACGGAUCU
rnacentral:misc_RNA from 1 species